AGGUGAAUAAGGAGGGUAAUCUCUCGAAAUUUACUGAAGCUCACAGAAUGGAGCAAGUCAGUACGUUUUUCUGCCGGUGAUGACGCUUUUGCUACAACAGUUCUAUGGUCACAUGUUAUUUUUGUUUAUAUUUUUUCAUGAUAAUGUGACAAGUCAAAAGAUAAUUAUUUAUUAAUUGUUAUUAAUUAAUGUGACGAUUUAAACUAUGAUCAUAAUAUAUAAUAAAUUGAUAAAACUAUCAAUAAGUCUGCAUUUAAAACACGAAAAAUGGUACAAAAAUGUAUUGUUUUCGAAUGUCAAACAUUAAAGGCAAAUAAAAAUGGUAUUUCUAUUUUUUCUGUACCAAAGGAUCCUAAACUUUUUGAUGCUUGGAAAUCAAAUCUCUA
rnacentral:lncRNA from 1 species